GGACAGGUGGCUGAGCGGUUGAAGGCACACGCUUGGAAAGCGUGCAACGGAGAAAUUCGUUCGGGGGUUCGAAUCCCCCCCUGUCCGCCA
rnacentral:tRNA from 1 species